AUUGAACGCUGGCGGCAUGCUUUACACAUGCAAGUCGAACGGCAGCGCGGGCUUCUUCCUGGCGGCGAGUGGCGAACGGGUGAGUAAUACAUCGGUACGUGCCCAGUAUUUGGGGAUAGCUCGGCGUAAGCCGGAUUAAUACCGCAUACGACCUUAUGGUGAAAGCGGGGAAUCUUCGGACCUCGCCCUUUUUGAGCGGCCGAGGGCAGAUUAGCUAGUUGGUGUGGUAAAGGCCUACCAAGGCGACGAUCUGUAGCUGGUCUGAGAGGGGGACCUGCCACACUGGGACUGAGACACGGCCCAGACUCCUACGGGAGGCAGCAGUGGGGAAUGUUGGACAAUGGGCGAAAGCCUGAUCGAGCAAUGCUGCGUGUGUGAUGAAGGCCUUCGGGUUGUAAAGCACUUUUGGCGGGAAAGAAAAGGAGUGUGAGAAUACCACGGUUCGAUGACGGUACCCAAAGAAAAAGCACCGGCUAACUACGUG
rnacentral:rRNA from 1 species